rnacentral:rRNA from 1 species
UACGUAGGGUGCAGGCGUUAAUCGGAAUUACUGGGCGUAAAGCGUGCGCAGGCGGCUCCUUAAGUCAGAUGUGAAGGCCCCGGGCUUAACCUGGGAACUGCGUUUGAAACUGGGGAGCUGGAGUGUAGAAGAGGGGGGUGGAAUUCCAGGUGUAGCAGUGAAAUGCGUAGAUAUCUGGAGGAACACCGAUGGCGAAGGCAGCCCCCUGGGCUAACACUGACGCUCAUGCACGAAAGCGUGGGGAGCAAACAGG